rnacentral:rRNA from 1 species
AUGACUAUUGCUUUCCAAUUAGCUGUUUUUGCAUUAACUGCGACUUGCUCAGUCUUAGUAAUUAGUGUACCCCUUGUAUUUGCUUCUCCUGAUGGUUGGUCAAAUAAUAAAAAUGUUGUAUUAUUGCACCGGCUGCAAGACUUCACAACUUCUAACUCCAUACUAUAG